AGGUACAAUCUUAUUGGAGUCUUACAGUGUUAUUCACAAAAGAUAUCAAUAUAAAUAAUGAACCUCCUUAGCUAUGCUUAAUAGUGACGGAAACUACUGGGUGUAUCUUCUAAUUCUGGCGGUAUGCUAUUGGAUAUUGUCAUGGUUUAUGUUUUAAGGUGAUGCAGCAGUGGUGUUCAA